rnacentral:rRNA from 1 species
AGAGUUUGAUCCUGGCUCAGAAUCAACGCUGGCGGCGUGCCUAACACAUGCAAGUCAAACGAGAAAGUGGAGCAAUCCAUGAGUAAAGUGGCGCACGGGUGAGUAACACGUGACUAACCUACCCUGGAGUGGGGGAUAACUGAGGGAAACCUUAGCUAAUACCGCAUAAUACCCACGGGUCAAAGGAGCAAUUCGCUUCAGGAGGGGGUCGCGGCCGAUUAGUUAGUUGGCGGGGUAAUGGCCCACCAAGACGAUGAUCGGUAUCCGGCCUGAGAGGGCGCACGGACACACUGGAACUGAAACACGGUCCAGACUCCUACGGGAGGCAGCAGUGGGGAAUUUUGCGCAAUGGGGGAAACCCUGACGCAGCAACGCCGCGUGGAGGAUGAAGUCCUUCGGGACGUAAACUCCUUUCGAUCGGGACGAUUAUGACGGUACCGGAAGAAGAAGCCCCGGCUAACUUCGUGCCAGCAGCCGCGGUAAUACGAGGGGGGCGAGCGUUGUUCGGAAUUAUUGGGCGUAAAGGGUGCGUAGGCGGUUUGGUAAGUCUUAUGUGAAAUCUAUGGGCUCAACUCAUAAACUGCAUGAGAAACUGCCGGGCUUGAGUGUGGGAGAGGUGAGUGGAAUUUCCGGUGUAGCGGUGAAAUGCGUAGAUAUCGGAAGGAACACCUGUGGCGAAAGCGGCUCACUGGACCACAACUGACGCUGAUGCACGAAAGCUAGGGGAGCAAACAGGAUUAGAUACCCUGGUAGUCCUAGCCCUAAACGAUGACUGCUUGGUGU